rnacentral:lncRNA from 1 species
UAGCUAAUCAACAUAGAUGUUAAUAUUACCUGUAUAUAGAUUACUACCUUAGUUUGUUAGUUCAUAUAAUACUAUAUAUCUUAUAUAAUUUUGUAAAUAGUUUUAAAAUUCUUUUCUGUAUACUUUUCGCACGCCCCUCGUGGAAAUCAGCUUCGGUUGACGGGGUCAGCGUGAUUAAAUAAAGUUUAUCUAUCUAUCUAAAACGUCCGAAAUUUUUUUGCGUGCUAUGACGCCAUCCUGGAGUGCUCCCGGCACUUUGUACCUAUGUUUUCCUAUGAAAAACUUCUGUGUGCACUCCAGGAUGGCGUCUUAUGAUGGCGUAUUUUCACGUCAGCACUCGUAAAAUUUCGGACAAAAUAUCGUCUGAGUGACAUUCUGAGUGACACUUCUGGUCCUGUAUCUAUUCUGUGCCAUAGCCAUCACUGUCGAUUACGUAUCGAAAUCACUGAUAUAGAUCGAAAUCACGCAUUCUUCGUCGGAUAUCCAACUGUUCAUGAAGCAUUCAUUAGUGUUGUAUUUUACCAUCAAGUGCGAAAAUCCAUUCCAGAAGGCGGCACAAGGGGAGGGGAUUAAAGCCACCAGACAGAGUUUAAAUGCUUCAGAUUGAUAGGGGUGCAACAACUACCUUUGGCUUUGGCAGAAAUUAAUUUCCUACAAAUAUUUUUGCGACUAUGGAAAUUUGUACUACUCUAACCUCUCUCCUCCGCAGAGCCUCCUUAAGUAUUUACAAAUAACUUACAUGAAGUUCCCUGAAUAAAAAUGAGCGCGCGCGGUGUGAUGGGAAGAUUGAAUGAAGCUCUUCCCAUCACUCCUUGCGCGCUCACUUUUCCCUCACUAGAAACUUCAUGUAAGCCUCUGCGGAGGAGAGAGCUACUCUAACAACUAAUAUUUUUGCGACUAUGGAAAUUUGUACUACUCUAAACCGCAAACAAAUUCUGGCGAGUCGGCGCAAACUGACUCUUUGUGAAUCGAGAACCAUACAAAUUUCUGAUUGAAACACGCUUUCUAACUGCAGAAUCCCUGUCUGUCAUAAAUUUGCUGUGAAAAUUUAGCCAAGAUUUCUGUGCAUUUUUCCAAAGAGAAGGUCUUUCCUGUGCAAAAUAAACCUGAAAAGGUAUGAUAAAGGUAUUUAGCUCAAAGGAAAUCAUGACCGCGAAGGAAUUUGUAUACCCGGUGCAAAAUGAUAAGUCAUAAGUGCCGAUUUUCGAGUUUUUUACCAUUUUAGAAUGCGCAAAAUUAAAUGCGCAAAUAAAAAACUGAGCGACAUUAGCUCGUACGUGAUUUUAUAUGCAAGUAAAGUGCAUUAUAAAUAACGAAUUAUUGUGUUUAUAAUGUUAGGAAACGGUGUCUGUUAUCAGCAAACGUACUAUUGGUAAACUGAUAGUGAAACAUUGCGGGAACGAAGGUCAGCAAGACGAUCCAACGCUCGUUGUUACCCUCAGACGAAUUCUCCAAGCGACGAUCACGAAACUGGACACAGAAUCUGAAGAGACUUGGAAGAAUGCCGAGAUUGUUAUUUACGAUCAGCAAGGGAAUGACUUUUGUAUUCGCUCGGGAAAUUUCGUAAAUAAAUUUGUUGUCCAACUCGACGAAAAAGAUGAAAUUAAUAUAACUUGUAGUAUAUAUAGAUUAUAUAUAGUGAGUAUAUAUACAUUUUAAGACCUAACCAGGAACGACUGCGAAAAAUGCAGCACAAGGUCCUCUGGUAUGAAUUGAACCUACGGCCCUGCGAUUCCGGUGCAGCGCUGUAACCAACUGAGCUACAGAGGCCAGCUGUUUAGCUGUAACCGUAAGUUCAUGUAUAUAUAGGUAAUCGGGUGUGCGGGUUGUGACAAGGUGGACUUCAAUGAUUUCUCAGCUUUUCUACUUUGUUGUUUGCUAGCGCAAACUGUAUCAGAACCACUACGUUUAAGCGGCCGAGUGCUAGUCUGGUUAUUAUGCGUGUUAUAUAUAGCUAGCACAAUACGGGCUUCAAUUUUGGCUCUUUUCAUUACUUGUCUUGUCAUCAGUUAGUUGUACCUCAUGUCGCUAACUGCUUGGUUGAGCUU